CCUACGGGAGGCAGCAGUGGGGAAUCUUGCGCAAUGGGCGGAAGCCUGACGCAGCAACGCCGCGUGCGGGAAGAAGGCCUUAGGGUCGUAAACCGCUUUCAGGGGGGACGAAGCUUCCGGGGUUAAUAGCCUACGGGGUGACGGUACUCCCAAAAGAAGGUCCGGCUAACUACGUGCCAGCAGCCGCGGUAAUACGUAGGGACCGAGCGUUGUCCGGAAUCAUUGGGCGUAAAGAGCGUGUAGGCGGCCUAGUAGGUCUCGUGUGAAAUCCCGUGGCUCAACCACGGACACGCACGGGAAACCCCUAGGCUCGAGUCCGGAAGAGGAGAGCGGAAUUCCUGGUGUAGCGGUGAAAUGCGCAGAUAUCAGGAAGAACACCCGUAGCGAAGGCGGCUCUCUGGGACGGUACUGACGCUGAGACGCGAAAGCGUGGGGAGCAAACAGGAUUAGAUACCCUGGUAGUCCACGCCGUAAACGAUGGAUGCUAGGUGUGGGAGGUGUCGACUCCUCCCGUGCCGAAGCUAACGCAUUAAGCAUCCCGCCUGGGGAGUACGGCCGCAAGGCUAAAACUUAAAUGAAUUGACGG
rnacentral:rRNA from 1 species